UACGGAGGAUGCAAGCGUUAUCCGGAAUGAUUGGGCGUAAAGCGUCCGCAGGUGGCUGUGUAAGUCUGCUGUCAAAGAGCAAAGCUCAACUUUGUAAAGGCAGUGGAAACUACACGGCUAGAGUGCGUUCGGGGCAGAGGGAAUUCCUGGUGUAGCGGUGAAAUGCGUAGAGAUCAGGAAGAACACCGGUGGCGAAGGCGCUCUGCUGGACCAUAACUGACACUCAGGGACGAAAGCUAGGGGAGCGAACAGG
rnacentral:rRNA from 1 species